GGGAUUAUGGCUCAGCCGUAGAGCGCUCAUCUAGCACGUGAGAGGCCCUGGGUUCAAUCCUCAGCACCA
rfam:Ictidomys tridecemlineatus contig016312, whole genome shotgun sequence.